rnacentral:rRNA from 1 species
ACGAACCGUACGAACGUUAUUCGGAAUUAUUGGGCUUAAAGGGUGCGUAGGCGGCUCAGUAAGUGGGGUGUGAAAUCCCUCGGCUCAACCGAGGAAUUGCGCCCCAUACUGCUAGGCUUGAGGGAGACAGGGGUGAGCGGAACUGAUGGUGGAGCGGUGAAAUGCGUUGAUAUCAUCAGGAACACCGGUGGCGAAAGCGGCUCACUGGGUCUCUUCUGACGCUGAGGCACGAAAGCUAGGGUAGCGAACGGG